CAGACCUCUGAUCAGAGAAGACUACCC
rnacentral:rRNA from 24 species